UACCCUUGACAUGUCCGGAAGCCCGCUGAGAGGCGGGCGUGCCCGAAAGGGAAUCGGAACACAGGUGCUGCAUGGCUGUCGUCAGCUCGUGUCGUGAGAUGUUGGGUUAAGUCCCGCAACGAGCGCAACCCUUGUCAUUAGUUGCUACAUUUAGUUGGGCACUCUAAUGAGACUGCCGGUGACAAACCGGAGGAAGGUGGGGAUGACGUCGUCGGAUUCUAAG
rnacentral:misc_RNA from 1 species